CUCGAUCUCCCGACCUCAGGCGAUCCGCCCGCCUCGGCCUCCCAGAUGCUGGGACCACAGGCGUGAGCCUCGGCGCCGGCCGGUCUGGAUCUUGGCCGCGACGUGGCCGUGAGUUCCUUUCCUCGGGUCGCAGCCCCCGGGGCCGUCGCGUCUCCGCUGAGCUCGGCUGCCUUGAGGGCGGUGACGGGUGGUCUCGCCCGAGCGCCUCAGCCCGCGAGCGUCAGCUCCGUCCGUCCGGCAGGGGGCAGGCGAGCGCGGCGCGAUGGCGGCCGUGGGCGGGGACCACCCUCCGCGGGAGCCGCCUCCGCCCGACCCCACCACGGCUCCGCCAGCGCCACAUGGGCGGGCACAGGCCGCGGCGGCCGCUACAAUUUUUUUUUGUUUGUUUUUAAGACAGGCUCUUGCGCUGCUGCCCAAGCUGGUCUUGAACUCCUGGCCUCCAGUGACCCUCCCACCUCAGCCUGGAGCUGCUGGGAUUCCAGCUGUGAGUCUCAGUGUCUGGCCCUGUGAACAACUUUAGGCCCCCAAAUUUGACAACUUAAAUAUCUCACUGAGAAAGCAUGGGGCCCUCACUGUGGAGUGUGAUGCCAGCUGUAGACCUUCUGCUGAUGCCCUGUUCAGGUUGGAGAAGUUCUCUAAUCUUUGUUGCUGAGUUUUUAUCAUAAAUUGAUAUUCCUUUGUCAAUUGCCUUUUGGCAUCAAUUGAUAUGAUCAUGUUGUUUUAUUCUUUAGACUGUUAAUAUGAUGUAUUGUAUUAGUUGAUUUUACUUUUUUAGCUAUCAAACCACCCUUGUAUUCCUGGAAUAAAUAGCACCACUCGA